rnacentral:rRNA from 1 species
UAUGUGAUCGUCUCUCGCAUAUCAAUAAGCGGAGGAAAAGAAACUAACAAGGAUUCCCCUAGUAACGGCGAGUGAAGCGGGAAGAGCUCAAAUUUGAAAUCUUAAAGGGUUUCCCUUUACGAAUUGUAGUUUAAAGAAGUGUUUUCUGUUGAGGUUUUGGUAAAAGUUCUUUGGAAUAGGACAUCAUAGAGGGUGAGAAUCCCGUAUUUGACCUUUACUUUCAACUUUGUGAUACACUUUCAAAGAGUCGGAUUGUUUGGGAAUGCAGUCCAAAAUGGGUGGUAAAUUUCAUCUAAAGCUAAAUAUUGGCGAGAGACCGAUAGCGAACAAGUACCGUGAGGGAAAGAUGAAAAGAACUUUGAAAAGAGAGUUAAACAGUACGUGAAAUUGUCAAAAGGGAAGCGUUUGACACCAGUGUUGUUUUUCUGAAAAUCAAUUAAAGAACUGUUUAUGCUAAGCUGUUUAGACUUUAUCAGCUAUCUGUUUAGUUUUGAGCUUUUCUUUAAUGCACUUUUCAGUUAACAAGUCAACAUCAAUUUCUUUUGCUGUAAAAAAGCUUGAGGAAGGUGGCUUGAGAUUCGUCUUAAGUGUUUAUAGCCUCUUGCCUAUGCAGUCGGAGAGAUUGAGGUCUGCAGCGUAGAUCCUUCGGGGCUAAAUGCAUUUGUGCUAAGUUAUAGCAUUUUAUAGACAACUUGUUGACUAUGAUUUGUCUUGUAGCUUACUCGCUUAUGUUAUUUUACCUACGCUUAGGAUGUUGAGUCGUAGAGCACGCAG